CGCCUACGGGGCGCAGCAGUGAGGAAUAUUGGUCAAUGGUCGGGAGACUGAACCAGCCAAGCCGCGUGAGGGAUGAAGGUACAGAGUAUCGUAAACCUCUUUUGUCAGGGAACAAAGGCGGGGACGCGUCCCCGGAUGAGUGUAACUGAAGAAAAAGCAUCGGCUAACUCCGUGCCAGCCGCCGCGGUAAUACGGAGGAUGCGCGCGUUAUCCGGAUUUAUUGGGUUUAAAGGGUGCGCAGGCGGUCUGUUACGUCAGCCGUCAA
rnacentral:rRNA from 1 species